rnacentral:rRNA from 1 species
UACGAAGGGGGCUAGCGUUGUUCGGAAUUACUGGGCGUAAAGCGCACGUAGGCGGGUUUGUAAGUAGGGGGUGAAAUCCCAGGGCUCAACCCUGGAACUGCCUUCUAGACUGCAAGCCUGGAGGUCAGGAGAGGCGAGUGGAAUACCGAGUGUAGAGGUGAAAUUCGUAGAUAUUCGGUGGAACACCAGUGGCGAAGGCGACUCGCUGGACUGAUACUGACGCUGAGGUGCGAAAGCGUGGGGAGCAAACAGGAUUAGAAACCCCAGUAGUCC